rnacentral:rRNA from 1 species
UACGGGGGGAGCAAGCGUUGUUCGGAAUUACUGGGCGUAAAGCGCACGUAGGCGGCGAUUCAAGUCAGAGGUGAAAGCCCGGGGCUCAACCCCGGAACUGCCUUUGAAACUAGAUCGCUAGAAUCUUGGAGAGGUCAGUGGAAUUCCGAGUGUAGAGGUGAAAUUCGUAGAUAUUCGGAAGAACACCAGUGGCGAAGGCGACUGACUGGACAAGUAUUGACGCUGAGGUGCGAAAGCGUGGGGAGCAAACAGG